UACAGAGGUCUCAAGCGUUGUUCGGAUUCAUUGGGCGUUAAAGGGUGCGUAGGCGGCGCGGUAAGUCGGGUGUGAAAUCUUGGAGCUUAACUCCGAAACUGCAUUCGAUACUGCCGUGCUUGAGGACUGGAGAGGAGACUGGAAUUUACGGUGUAGCGGUGAAAUGCGUAGAUAUCGUAAGGAAGACCAGUGGCGAAGGCGGGUCUCUGGACAGUUCCUGACGCUGAGGCACGAAGGCCAGGGGAGCAAACGGG
rnacentral:rRNA from 1 species